UACGGAGGGAGCAAGCGUUACUCGGAAUUAUUGGGCGUAAAGGGCGCGUAGGCGAUUUGACAAGUCAACUGUGAAAGCCCAGGGCCUAACCCUGGAAGUGCAGCUGAUACUGUUAGAUUUGAGUUCCGGAGAGGAAGGCAGAAUUCCCGGUGUAGCGGUGAAAUGCGUAGAUAUCGGGAGGAAUACCAGUGGCGAAGGCGGCCUUCUGGACGGAUACUGACGCUGAGGCGCGAAAGCCAGGGGAGCAAACGGG
rnacentral:rRNA from 1 species